UACAGAGGUGGCAAGCGUUGUUCGGAAUUACUGGGCGUAAAGGGCGCGUAGGCGGUCUUCUAAGUCUUGUGUGAAAUCCCUCGGCUCAACUGAGGAACUGCACGGGAUACUGGAAGACUUGAGUUCGGGAGAGGGAAGCGGAAUUCCGGGUGUAGCGGUGAAAUGCGUAGAUAUCCGGAGGAACACCGGUGGCGAAGGCGGCUUCCUGAACCGAUUACUGACGCUGAGCGCGAAAGCUAGG
rnacentral:rRNA from 1 species